CACGUAGGGCGCAAGCGUUGUCCGGAAUUAUUGGGCGUAAAGAGCUCGUAGGCGGUCUGUUGCGUCCGCUGUGAAAACUCGGGGCUUAACCCCGAGCCUGCAGUGGAUACGGGCAGACUAGAGGUAGGUAGGGGGAGAAUGGAAUUCCCGGUGUAGCGGUGAAAUGCGCAGAUAUCGGGAGGAACACCGGUGGCGAAGGCGGUUCUCUGGGCCGUUACCUGACGCUGAGGAGCGAAAGCGUGGGGAGCGAACAGG
rnacentral:rRNA from 1 species